UCUCUUUUCUCCUAUCUUCUCACUCCUCCCUCACAUCCUCUCCUUUGAUCUUCUCCAUCUCCUGCUCGAAAAAAUCCAUAAAAUCAAAAAAAAAUCGAGACCUAAUCUUUGUUCAUCCCAAAUCUCUAGGGCACCAAUUAUUUGUUAAAAUAUAAAUUUCUAGGGCACCAAUAAUGGGUGCGAAGAUUGGAAAUUUCUUUGAAUCCACCGGAAAUUUCUUCGGCGCUGGCUACAUAAUAUUGUUAAGCAUUGCGCCGGCUACAAUAGUGUGCCUGCGAAUAUCGAUUAAUUUCUUCGGAACCGGAAAUUCUUUGAUUAAUCCCAAUAACAGGGUUUUCUUCGUAUUAUUGAAAUUAUUUGAUUGAAACCCUUCAAUUUGUUUGAUUGAAUUUUUUCAUUGAAACCCUUUAAUCUGUUUGAUUGAAACCAUACUGUUAAACAUUGCUUUAGUUUUCUGAGUGCCUUCUUCUAUUGUUUUCAAAUCGAAGACGGCUUGUGGAAAUCCUUAAUGUUGAAGAAGGCAAAUCGGGUGUUCUCUGAGGGGAUUUCUAAAAAAAUCGAAGCUUUCUACGAUCUGCAAGAUACCUAGAUCACGAAUAGAUUUUUGGAAUUCAUCUUUUCUGAGUCUGCUUUCAUUUUGCAAGUUUUCAGCUUGGAUCAACCCACUAAGGUACCUAGCUUCAUCAUUUGAAACUUGGUUUUUUCACUUUAUAUUUCUUUCCUUUUUGGUUAUUUUAUGUCUGAGAACCUGAUACAUCAUUUUCUUUCUCAUACCUUAUAGUUUCAACCAAAAGACCUCUUUUUUACCCUUAACCAAUCUCUCCCAUAGAAAGUUUAUAAAGUAACGAACAACGCGCAACUCCACGAAUAUAAAUACAAAGCGGUGUUUUCUUAUCUGUUUGAAUCUGAUUGUGAUUAUAGUGGGGCCCUCGUCCUAGAUGGAGGUCUGUACAGUGUACUGGAUAAAGUUUUCCCUAAAACAAUGGUGAUGUAGAUAUUUGGAUUUAAAAUAUAUGAUAGCUGAGAUAGGAGACUCACGGUUCAAUUGUCAGAAGUUGAAGCUACCUAAAGGAUGCGGGUGUGCUUUAUCAAUGAGAAUAAUUAUUGUUGGUUUUUUUUUUCUAUGGGUUUGUAUGAGUAAUAGGAUUCAGGUUUCCAGGUAUGAAUUCCAAAUGCACUGUAUUCAGGCUAAUGAAAGAAAAAUGUGAAACACUUGGGUAGAGUUUUGUAUUCAGGCUAUUGGUCUUUUCUAUUUAAGGCCAAUGUUGGCCUUUAACGGGUUUAUGUUAACAUCAUUAUGUUAAGUUUCUAUCACUGCAUAAUUACUUUUAUUCAUCUACAUAAUUUAUUCUUAUGUGAUAUAGAUAUUCAUGGGUUAUGUAAUUUAAUGUAAUUUUGUUUUUAUGUCUCUUCUGAGACAUCUAGAAUUAACAACAAUAUAUUGUGUAAUUUAAUAAAAUUCUAUUUUU